rnacentral:tRNA from 1 species
GGUUAGGUGGCCGAGUAGGUGGCAGGCUGUAAACCUGCUUAAGUGGGUCUUAAUCCCACCCUCCCCA